UCAGAAACGAUUGAAAAUGUCCCCAAAUCGAAAAGAAAAAAAAAAGCUUAUUUAUCUUUGAUUACAAACACAAAAUGAAAUUAACAAACUGACAUCAGCACGAACAUAAACAAUAUUCUACAAGUAAAACGGGACACGUAACAAUUAUGUCGUUAUUAAAGGCACAUUGUCAUUUUUGUCGUGGAUUAAUUAAAAGAGCGUCUCGGCCUCCAUCUUGGAUAUUCCCAGGCCAUGGUGACGUCAUAACGCUGUUGUCCAUGGUGACGUCAUAACGCUGUUGUACGGUAGGUGGCGGUAUUCAGCUUGAAGUUGUUUACGAUCCGCCAUUGCAGAAAACAAGAAGAAGACCGAGAGCGAUUUGACGCGUCCGUCCUCGUUCAGGGAAAACAUUUGGACUCAUUUUGUUUUUUAAGGAAGUGCUUGAAAGACGGAGCUUUCCGAGUUUCACCGUGUUCAAGGUUUGGAAAAUGAAGAUGGCGCAGUUACGGAACACCGCGAACAUGGAGCUAAGCUACGAGCUUUUAAUGAGAAUAAAGUCUCUGAGGUUGUUCCUGGAAUCUCCUGGAGUCUCUUUCAGGCAGAUUGUUCCAGUGACCACUGGCGCUGGUCCAUAGGGAAGUUACAUGGCAUUGGUGCUGUAAGGUUUCGACUCCAAUCUUGACAAUCUUUUGCAAGUUUUCUGAAAUGCUCUGAAAGAUAUAUAAAUAAAUCAUCCUUCAUAGAAAUAU